CAUCACGUAGUUUGAUCAUCGGCUACAGAACGACGCUGGCGGCAUGCCUAACACAUGCAAGUCGAACGAGACCUUCGGGUCUAGUGGCGAACGGGUGAGUAACACGUGAGCAAUCUGCCCUUGACUCUGGGAUAACUGCGGGAAACUGUAGCUAAUACCGGAUACUUUCACCGGAAGGCAUCUUCUGGUGAUGAAAGAAUUUCGGUCAGGGAUGAGCUCGCGGCCUAUCAGCUUGUUGGUGAGGUAACGGCUCACCAAGGCGACGACGGGUAGCCGGCCUGAGAGGGUGACCGGCCACACUGGAACUGAGACACGGUCCAGACUCCUACGGGAGGCAGCAGUGGGGAAUAUUGCACAAUGGGCGCAAGCCUGAUGCAGCAACGCCGCGUGAGGGAUGAAGGCCUUCGGGUUGUAAACCUCUUUUAGCAGGGAAGAAGCGAAAGUGACGGUACCUGCAGAAAAAGCACCGGCUAACUACGUG
rnacentral:rRNA from 1 species